rnacentral:rRNA from 1 species
CUUGAUUCAGGACGAACGGCUGGCGGCGUGCCUAAUACAUGCAAGUCGAACGGCUUUUCUAUGGAAGCUUGCUCCACUGAGAAGAUAGUGGCGAACGGGGUGAGGUAACAACGUGGGGUAACCUGCCCAUAAGAGGGGGGAUAACAUCCGGAAACGGGUGCUAAUACCGCAUAGUUUUCUUGAUCGCAUGAUCGGGAAAGGAAAGACGGCCUUUGUGCUGUCGCUUAUGGAUGGACCCGCGGCGUAUUAGUUGGUGAGGUAACGGCUCACCAAGACGAUGAUACGUAGCCGACCUGAGAGGGUGAUCGGCCACAUUGGGACUGAGACACGGCCCAAACUCCUACGGGAGGCAGCAGUAGGGAAUCUUCCGCAAUGGACGAAAAUCUGACGGAGCAACGCCGCGUGAGUGAAGAAAAGGUUUUCGGAUCGUAAAACUCUGUUGUCAGAGAAGAACAAGUUGGAGAGUAACUCGCUCCAGCCUUGACGGUAUCUGACCAGAAAGCCACGGCUAACUACGUGCCAGCCGCAGC